UUUCGCAAUGCCCGAAAGGGUGACGAAGCGACGCCGCGUGUGGGAAGAAGGCCUUCGGGUUGUAAACCACUGUCGGGAGUUAAGAAAUGCAAGGAUAUGAAUAGUGUCUUUGCUUGACUAAGGCUCCGGAGGAAGCCACGGCUAACUCUGUGCCAGCAGCCGCGGUAAUACAGAGGCGGCAAGCGUUGUUCGGAAUUAUUGGGCGUAAAGAGCACGUAGGCGGCUAUGUAAGUCGGUUGUGAAAGCCUUCCACUCAACGGGAGAACAGCAUCCGAUACUACAUGGCUUGAGUGCGGGAGGGGAGAGUGGAACUUCUGGUGGAGCGGUGAAAUGCGUAGAUAUCAGAAGGAACGCCGGCGGCGAAAGCGGCUCUCUGGCCCAUAACUGACGCUGAGUGUGCGAAAGCUAGGGGAGUAAACGGGAUUAGAUACCCCGGUAGUCCUAGCCGUAAACGAUGGGCACUAAGUAGAGGGGUUUU
rnacentral:rRNA from 1 species